rnacentral:tRNA from 2 species
GGCCACAUGGUCUAGUCGCAUGAUUCUCGCUUUGGGUGCGAGAGGUCCUGGGUUCAAUUCCCAGUGUGGCCC